UGGAGACGCGAGGACAAACCUAAUCAGGAAUCAGGCCCACGUCCUCAUCUCCGUGACCGGCCGUCGGGGUUUAAUUCCUAUCUGGUGUUAAAUGAAAGGCCAAGCAGAGGGGUUGACUGUAAUUCCAGAUGGACUCUGUGUAAACAACAGCGUGUAUUUUUCAAAGAAAUGGGUGUAAAGAGAAGGAAUACACGGAGGAUUUUACCGGAAUGCCUGUGUAAACAAGCACUAUUACUGCCCUCAAUUGUUUUGUCCUGCUUAAGAAAACAUACGUUGUGUUCUGCACUACCUACCUGCAGCCGAGGUGUGGCAUCUUCUGCUUGUCCAAACUGUGGUGUACAUUCCAGAUCCUUUAGCAUAAUAUCCUUUGGUCACAGAAAUGACAUCUUCAGGGAGAUGACUUUGAAGAAAUGCCUGAAGUGACAGUAGAAAUAUCUUCUUCUGUUAUCUGCUGAAAGUUACAUCAGAUUUUAGAGCAUGUACUGUGUUUCUGAUUGCCAUCUCUGAACUGUUGGAACAUUGAGAACAGCUUCUCCAGGAAGUCAGUGGUGACCAAAAACCUGGGGCAGGGAACUCAGGGAGACCAAGUCGACUGUAAAGUGAGAUUGUAGACACGGUUCAGCAGCAGACAUCUGGCGGGAAAGGGGCCCACAGCACUGACAGCAAAGAGCCGCUUCAGCUGGGUGUGGUAGCAGCUUGAAAUCCAGGAGGAAGGAAAACACAGUAACCAGGGUGAGGUACGUCCUCUGUGGGAAAGGCACCAGCACCAGCCUCUCCUGAUCAGUUGUUUGGGGGACCUUUGAAAGCACAGCCCUUGCCCAUUUUUCUUUCUCAGGCAUAAUCGUUUGGGGUCUUGUUGGAGAAAAAGGCUUUGAGAAUGGGGCAAGGGUGUGCUCCAGGACCUGGGUAGCUAGGCGGUUUUAAUGACCAUCCUCUUAUAGGUGGGCCCCAGGAAGAAUUUAUUGGGGGAGGGGGGGCAGUAGCUAAUUUUUCACAUUGUCACUCUAUAGGACAUCUGUACCAGCACAUCUUUCCCUUUUUGUGGUUAAAACAUCCCUCUGGAGAAUUAUCCCUGAGGCCCUGAGAGUUUUAUUGCUGUAUCCCCACCCUUCCACCUCCGCACCCCUCUCCCCACAGCCUCUUGGUCUCAGUUCAGAUGUCAAUCAAGGUGCCCAGCUCAGGACAACCUCUUAAGCUGGUCGGAGAGCUACUGCCAACUCCUGGAGACACAGCAGUAACUCACCUUUGUUCUGGUCCUAUAGCUUUAAACCCUGAAAUGGGGGCUGUGAAUCAUCUAACCUGAUGAGGAUCUUUGAGGCCCCAUCUGAUAAGCACACUUUGUACCAUAAACUCAAGUAAAAGUAAAAAUCAAAUCAAUCGACAAAAUUCAAAUAUUUUCUACCACCAAAUCACUAAGGCAACUCCAAAGAAUAUGCUUCUGGAACAAAAGGCAAUUCCAAAAGAGGUGCCCUAAAAAGGU